GAUGAACGCUGGCGGCGUGCUUAACACAUGCAAGUCGAACGGUGAAAGAGAGCUUGCUCUCUGGAUCAGGGGCGAACGGGUGAGUAACACGUGAGCAAUCUGCCCCUGACCCUGGGAUAAGCGCUGGAAACGGCGUCUAAUACCGGAUACGAGCUGCGAAGGCAUCUUCAGCAGCUGGAAAGAAUUUCGGUCAGGGAUGAGCUCGCGGCCUAUCAGCUAGUUGGUGAGGUAACGGCUCACCAAGGCGUCGCCGGGUAGCCGGCCUGAGAGGGUGACCGGCCACAGUGGGACUGAGAGACGGCCCAGACUCCUACGGGAGGCAGAAGUGGGGAAUAUUGCACAAUGGGCGAAAGCCUGAUGCAGCAACGCCGCGUGAGGGACGACGGCCUUCGGGUUGUAAACCUCUUUUAGCAGGGAAGAAGCGAAAGUGACGGUACCUGCAGAAAAAGCACCGGCUAACUACGUGCCAGCCGCCGCGGUAAUAC
rnacentral:rRNA from 1 species